rnacentral:rRNA from 1 species
AACGCUGGCGGCGUGCUAACACAUGCAAGUCGAACGAAGCAUCCCUCCCGAAGAAGCGGAAGUGCUUGCACAGAAGUGGAUUCAUUGGGAUGACUAGUGGCGGACGGGUGAGUAACGCGUGGGCAACCUGCCCUAUAGAGGGGGGACAACAGUUAGAAAAUGACUGCUAAUACCGCAUAGUAAUGCAGAUCCGCAUGCUUCUGCAUUGAAAGCUUUUGCGCUAUAGGAUGGGCCCGCGUUUGAUUAGCUAGUUGGUGAGGUAACGGCCCACCAAGGCGACGAUCAAUAGCCGGCUUGAGAGAGUGAACGGCCACAUUGGGACUGAGACACGGCCCAAACUCCUACGGGAGGCAGCAGUGGGGAAUAUUGCACAAUGGGGGGAAACCCUGAUGCAAGCGACGCCGCGUGAGUGAAGAAGUAUUUCGGUAUGUAAAGCUCUAUCAGCAGGAAAGAUAAUGACGGUACCUGACUAAGAAGCCCCGGCUAACUACGUGCCAGCCGCCGC